rnacentral:rRNA from 1 species
GUCUACGGCCAUGCCACCCUGAACAAGCCCGAUCCCGUCUGAUCUUGGAAGCUAAGCAGGGUCGGGCAUGGUAAGUACUUGAAUGGGAGACCACCUAGAAGACCAGACGUAAAAA